rnacentral:lncRNA from 1 species
CUUAGAGCAUAAUGCACAUUUCUGUUUUUUAAAGAAUCCUCAGAUUUAAGAAAAAACAAAAAAAAUCUACCUUUAAGUCAGUUAAUCAUCACUAACACCACAUAGAGAGAAAUUAGGGAAAUAAUACAUCUGAUAAGCCAUGCAUAAGCAAUAAUUGACUAAUUUUAAAGUAUCCAAUAGUUUACCUAGAGAUUCUCUUUGUUCUCUCUUCCUCACACUCCUAGUCUCUUUUCUGAGCAUGCUCUGUUUUGAUGAGUACUCCCAUGCUCUCCCAUAUUCCCCAGGAUUGAACACAAAGGAGUCAGUUAUUGCCUGUUAUCCUCAAUGGAAUCCUCCUAAUUGCAGUUUAAAACUGACUACUAACGAAAGGCGAAAAUGAAUGCAGAACACGAGAGACAGACCAAAAAAAAACCUGGCAGGAUUCAUCUAAAAAUAUACAGAAAAUAUGAAAACUAAGGGCAGUCUAAUGGAUUAUAUGAAUAAAAUAUUACAUAGCACAAUCUGGAGCAAGUGCUUCAUGACAAAAUGAGUAAUAGUUGAUGGAAUUUAGAUCUCUGUAGAGAAGGAAUUGCAAUUUUUACUAGGCCUAUUUUUCUCCUUUCCCACUCUUGUUAGCUCAUUUAUAAAGUGAUGAAAAGAAAUCAUUGCAAGUGCUGCUAAAUGAUUGAAGAUGACUUCAGGGACACGUUGAGCUUGCUCUCUGCUGCAGAAUAAUAGACAAAUGCCAGAAGGAUCCCUGAGAGAGCAGUCAUGGAAGAGAGCCCGAAAUGGAAAGAAGCAGUGCUGUGUAGCUGUUUCUUCCAGUUUGAAACAUUCCUUUGGAGAAGGAAGAGGGAGGCUUAUAAGACUCAAGAAGAAACGUGAGGCCUUUACAGUAUCAGACGUUUAAGAAAGUUAUGACCCACCGGGCUUCUUCUCAAGAUUGUAAAUUAAGAAGCCUGGCAUUGGUGGUGCACGCCUUUAAUCCCAGCACUCGGGAGACAGAGGCAGGUGGAUGUCUCUGAGUUCGAGGCCAGCGUGGUCUCCAGAGCAAGUGCCAGGGUAGGCUCCAAAGCUACACAGAGAAACCCUGUCUCAAGAAAUCAAAAAAAAAAAAAAGAAAGAAAGAAAGAAAGAAAGAAGAAAGAAAUUAAGAAAUCUUUAAUGUAUACACAUUAGUCUUCUAUUCCUGGGAGUUUCUUUGAAUUUAUUGCACAUGAGAUGGAAUGAUAUAUCCCACAACUCAAUAAACAAAGCACAUAAUGAAUUUAAAA